UUCAGUUUUCCUGGUGCUUUGUAGCUUUGUAUUUAGCUUAAGCAGAACACUCUUAAAAUCCUGCUCUCAGAACUAAAGUCUUCAUCUUUUUCUGGACUUCUUAAAACCAGCAUUAUUCUGUUGGGGUCAAGCCUGGAUUUUCAUUGGUAACUGUACUCAUUCAGGUAGGAAAUCUUGUGAUUAUUUUCAAUGUAGUAACUGUCUCAACUUGCCCAAAGUAGUUGUAAAAGAAAUCCCAUCACAGCUUCAUUAUUUUCUGGACAGAGAAGGCUGAAUGCCACAAUUCUAUUCUGCAAGGUUUGUCUGACAUCAGAACUGAAUUCUGCAGACUUCAGCAUCUAUCGCUUACAUUACUGCUUAUAACUGUUCUAAAUGCUCUUCCUGCCAUGCUGCUCUUGAAGACAUUAUGAAUAGAAUGUUAUGUUUUUAAUUUAAGUUCUAACAGCUACCUGAAACAGAACCUGGGUAUUGCUAAUUACCUCAGAACAUUAGACUGUAGUCCUGUUGGUACCCUUGAAUUUAUACUCCCAUAACACUCACAGCCUAAAAUGAUAUUGAUGGCACUUCAAAGAUGUUUAACCCUCCCUUUGAUAUUUCCUCUACCUUUCACCACAGUGUUUGGUGUUUGCCUUUCCUCAUCAGAAGAGAAAUAAUUUUUUAAUAUCAUAUUUAGUGUACUUACUGUAUAAUUAUG